rnacentral:rRNA from 1 species
GGGAAUGCCUUGGCACCAGGAGCCGACGAAGGACGCAGCGAUCUGCGAAAAGCCACGGGGAGCCGAAAGCAGGCUUUGAUCCGUGGAUAUCCGAAUGGGGAAACCCGCAUGGUUAAUAGCCAUGCGACGUAUACUGAAUAAAUAGGUAUGCGUCGGGAACCGUCUGAACUGAAACAUCUAAGUAGGACGAGGAAAAGAAAUCAACCGAGAUUCCGUA